GCUUGUCUCAAAGAUUAAGCCAUGCAUGUCUAAGUGUAAAUAAGUCUAUACUGUGAAACUGCGAAUGGCUCAUUAUAUCAGUUAUAGUUUAUUUGAUGGUCCUUGCUACUUGGAUAACCGUAGUAAUUCUAGAGCUAAUACAUGCAUUAAACCCCGACUUCUGGAAGGGGUGUAUUUAUUAGAUGGAAACCAAUGCGGGGCAACCCGGAAUAUGGUGAAUCAUAAUAACUGUCGUAUCGAGCAAUCGAAGCGCCAUACAAGUUUCUGCCCUAUCAGCUUUGGAUGGUAGGGUAUUGGCCUACCAUGGCUUUAACGGGUAACGGAGAAUUAGGGUUCGAUUCCGGAGAGGGAGCCUGAGAAACGGCUACCACAUCCAAGGAAGGCAGCAGG
rnacentral:rRNA from 1 species